UACGUAGGGUGCAAGCGUUGUCCGGAAUUAUUGGGCGUAAAGAGCUCGUAGGCGGUCUGUCGCGUCGGCUGUGAAAUCCCGAGGCUCAACCUCGGGUCUGCAGUCGAUACGGGCAAACUAGAGUAUUGCAGGGGAGACUGGAAUUCCUGGUGUAGCGGUGAAAUGCGCAGAUAUCAGGAGGAACACCGGUGGCGAAGGCGGGUCUCUGGCCCGAUACUGACGCUGAGGUGCGAAAGCGUGGGGAGCAAACAGG
rnacentral:rRNA from 1 species